GUCCCGUAUGAUAUGAUCUUUCUAAUUUUAAUGCCAAAUUAGAGUUUUUACCCCAAUUUCACGGUCCACUGAACAUGGAAAAUGAUAGUGCGAGUGGGGCAUUCGUGUACUGAGGACACAUUCUUGUUUGAAGAGAUUAAUAUUCAACAGCAUAGUGAAUUGCUCUAAGAGAAAACAAAAAUUUUAAGUUCAUUAGAACACAUUCAUUCUGUGUCAGAAACCUAUGCUGUGUCAACUAUUUAAUCACAAUCCAAAUUUAGAGCUGAAUCCAGCUUGAAUGUUGUGUCCAUACUUGCCCCAACCGUUCAGGGUUCAACCUCUGCGGUCGUAUAAAGCUACGCCCUGCAGAGCAUCUGGUUUUACUUUAUUCAAGAAAAAAUAAAUCACACCUUAUCAAAUCAUUCAUAAAAAAAUAAAGAAAGACAAUCAACUCUCUAUUUACUUAGAGAGAACACAUUGUAACUGAUUGAAAAGUUAUUUUUUUGAAUGUUAAACCAAAUGUUUAGAUCAUUUAUACAAAAUAAAUAACUUUUACAAAAAUUGUUCACAAAAUUUACAUGCAUAGAAAAAAUGAGGGGACCCUAUUUCAUUAUGAAAGGUUUUUCUUCAUUUUUUUUUCUAAUUCAAAACCACGAUAGAUUUAAUCAAUGAUAUUCAGACUGAAGUCAAAUAAAAGAUAGACAUGAUUGUAGUUGUACCCGCUAAUAUUUAAUUGCUUUGAAAAAUUUCACAUACAAAAAAUCUACAAUCAUUGAAAUGGAGUUUGUCCUCUGUGUUACAGUAUUGAAAUAUAUCAAAGAUGUGCCCAAUUGUGACUGUACAUGCUUCUGCUUAACAAGCUAUUUGUUUGCAAUCAGUAUUACAGCAUUAUUUUCGAGAAAUUGACAAUUUGAAAAAUCUUUAGAUGUUUGAAAACAAUACUUUAGUAUUUUCAAUAUAGAAAUAUGAAUUGAAUAAAUAAUGAAUAUUUUUUUUAGCAUUUAUUUUUAUUGCAAAUUUUGAGAAAAACAAAUGUACAAACAGAAGAAUAUUUAAAACAUAAUUUGAAUAAAUAUGAAACACUUUUUUUCAAGUGAGGUAGUUCUGAAUAUCAGUAACUUUCAACUUAUACAGUUACUUCAGAAUAGAAUUUUGCACAGAAUACUCUAUUUCCAUCCCAUAAUUUUUACCAAGAAAGAAUUGUUUAAAAAAUGACAUUCUAGGGAUAACAAAAGAUAGUAAUAUUUUCAUUCAUCAGAUUUUAUUUGAAUUGUAACAUGUACUCUGUACUAAGUGUUUUAAUUUAUUUCAUAUCUUACUCAUUAAUGUAAUAUGUUGAAUCAAACCAUUUCUAUCUCCAUAAUACAUAUGUAGAUUUUGUGUACUUUUUAUCAAUGUAUAUAUACAACAUAUACAUAUAAGUUAACUGUAUUUUGAUGUGUUCUGAAGCAUUUUUUGUAUGUAUGGUUUGCCCCCCUGUUUUUAUGUGUAAUUUAUUAUUAGAUAAACGUAACAACUCAAUAUUAUACAACCUUUUUAUAUGCAAGUUUCUUUUAUGGUAUUUGGUGCUUUUACACAAUUUUUCCCUAGAUAAAUAAAGUUUCAUGACUUUCACAAGCAAAUUCUUUAGAAUCUAUGUUGUACUGUAUAUCAGACAUUAAAAUUCAGUUUCUUAACAUCGUACCUAUAUUUGAUAUAAAUGUCAGACAAAAAGAUUCAAAUUUUAGUUUUCAGAAAUGUUUUUUAUUGUGGCUGUGAUUGACAUUAUAAUACUAUUUUCUAAUAGCAUUUUCCACAUUUAUUGUCAAAAGGUCAUUAAUUUGACAUAAAAAAAAUUGGAAAGAAAUUUUUGUUUAUAACUUAAAUUGAGAAAAGUCUAAUUAAAAAAAAAAAAAUUGAUAUGGCAGGAAGCUGUUGUUAAUUGUCUGGUCCUGAUAUUUGAUGAAAUAAAAUGUCUGCCACAAUCUACAAGGAAAAGCAAAAAACUUUUCAUUUGCUUGAAUUUAUGAAAAAAUUGGGAAAUUACAAAGUUACUUUAGAUUAUCCGUAUUGGCUCCAUACAGUCAUUGAUUGUUUCAGGGGCUGUUGAUCACUGCAGUUCUUUGGGAAGUUAUUUUAUUUAAAGGAGGACAUCAACCAAUACACUAAUAUUGAUUUCUUAAGUCUAAUUUUGGAGUCUUAGGUUACAAUAGGGCGUAAUCAUGUAAUACUGAUGUUACCUGUAAUCUAUUUCUGCACUAGAACCAAUCCAUGAAUCAAAGCGAUAUUCAAAUAAAUUUGAAGUCUUCAUAGUUUUUAUUCUGUAGAUAUACAUGUAAAUUAUGUACUGUAACUCUGUUCUAUAAAUUAUGUACUGUAACUCUGUUCUAUAAGAUAUAUAAAGUAUGCUAAUGAGAGACUUGUAGUGUGCUGUAUGAUAUAGUAUGUGCUAUCUGUUAUUUUGGAUGUGUGUGGUAUGCUAUAAAUUGUGGAGUUGUGCUAUAUUCAGCUUGAGUGAUAUAUAAGUGUAUUUGCUUAUCUUUGUUUAUCUGUUAACUAGAGCUAUCUUCUGUGAUGUGAUUUAUUUUGCUUUGUUGGAUACUCAGAGCUGGAUCUGUUGAGUUUUGUAAUUCCCCUCCCCCUUUUUUCCCUAUUCAGAGAUCUAUACAUUUGAUUCAUGAAGUCAUUCUUAAAUCAUUCAUAUCAUGAUUAAAACCACAUAAAAUAUGGAAAUUAUAUUUAUGUAUUCUGACACUUGUAAUGUAGUUAUACUGAUUUCAGACUUUCUAUCAUUUUGUAGUGUUAAUUUUUAUAUAAGUUAAUAUUGCAAGACAUUAUAGUGUACAUGAUUUCACAAUUAAUUGAUAAAUACAUGAUUUCAAAAGCUAUUUCAUUUUAUGUACAACUAGUAGAACUUGUUUCAGUAGCUCAAAAUUAUGUGCUCAAUACAUAAAUCUGACAUAAGAAUAUAAUAGAAUUAUUUUAUGUAAUGUUUAUAGUUGUUCUUACAGUAACAGAUCAUUUCACAAAUCUUGCUUGAAAAUCAGACUUUUGACUGCAAAAAAAAACUUUAAAUGGCAACUUUCUGAAUUCAUUUUUGGUGAAAAUACUUCUUAUAGAAGUCAUUAUUGUACUUUAUCUUUAUUUUCCCUUAAACUUAAACAAUCAGUUUCUGUCUCUUGAAUUACAUAAUGAUAUUUAGUCUCGUAAACCAUGUCUUGCGACGUCUGUCGAUUUGUCUGUGAACAAUUAAUUGCUUCGAAGUACUUUUUUUCUUGUGGCUGAUUUGUGAUGGAAUAUUUAGUUCCUAGUUAUUUAAUUCAGACCUUCAUUUUUCCAGGCCUCUUAACUUUAGUAACCAUGAACUUCAAAUGCAUAAAAAAUAAUUGGCAUCGAACCAAAGUCUUUUAAAUGAAAUCAGUCACAAGAAUUGAGACAAUUUUAGUCCCCAUUGAAGAUUAUCAUUUGUUUUGUUCACUAAAUGAAAAGUAUUUUAUAAAGGUUUUACCCAGCAAAGAUUACUUUUAAGUUCCACAAUGAAUUACUGGUUAACAGUAUGUAGUUUAUUCCUGUAUUGUAAAACAUGAUAUUAAAGUAAUCCUGAAGACACUAAAUAAAGUAUGAUAUUCUUUUCGAAACACUUUUAUACUUUAUUGUAUUGAUUGAUAUACUUUAGUAUUGUUUUAUAUAUAGAAUGGGAUUUAAAAAUUAUUGAUUCUAGUGCUAAAGUAACAUUUUGCAUAUUUUAUUAAUCCUGAGGCAACUAUAAAAAAGAAAAGACAGUAUCAAUGAAAGUGUAUCUGGGAAGUGAAUCAUUUUAUAAAACUGAUGAAGAUCUGAAAAAAUGUCUUCCAGUCAUUCAAGAUGUUAUCCUUUGGUCUGAAUGAAUAAAAGUUUUACAUACAUAAUCAUCUGACUAGUAAUAAUUGAAUCCUUGUAUGUUUCUAUAUUUUAGUGAAAUCUUGUAAAAGUAUAAUUUUGUGGAGUUUAAUUGAGUCUAAAGUGGACUCAAAACAGUUGUUUUGAUUCUAGAUGGGAAGCAAUCAUUUGAUAUUUAUUGGAGAGAUAAGGAAAUUUGCAAAUGAGUUCAAAAUUCUGAAGAAAUAUUCAAAAGAAUAAAGGUUAUAGAAACAUAGAAAAAAUAAAAAUCAUAAACAAACAAAAUAAAGGAAGUACAAACAGAUUUUGGGCAAACAUUUUUUUUGCCUAAAAUAAUCAGAGGUCACAAGCUUUUUUGUGUGCCCCAAAGUGAAAUGGUUGCUCCCUUAUCUUUAAAGGUCCACAUAUUUAACGGACAAAUCAAUGGUAAUCUACAAUGGCUCUCUCUAAUUGUUUGUAUUUGUACAUAUAAAUAUAAUCUGCAUUUUAUGUGGACAUCCUUAGACUGCUGUCAUAUUGACUCCCUAAGGGUAGUGCCAAAUUUUUAUUAUUCUAUUAUAUAUAUAUACUUAACAGUUUUGUUUAUACAAUGAUAAUGCAAUUCAAAACUCAAAAAA
rnacentral:lncRNA from 1 species